CGGCCCCCGAAUUACUUGGGUCAAGUCCAGGGCUGUCAUGGAAUCCAUGAACUCCUGCGCCCCAUCAGAGUGCUAAGUUUAAGUGUUGCUUUUUAAUUAAGCUUGAAGCACUACACUGUCCAAUUUCACAUAGUAAAAUUUUCUAUAUAAAGUAAAUAUAGAAUCACAUAUAUAAAUUGAACAAACAAAUACAACUCCAUGAUAUAAGAAGAGAAAAAGCAAGUUAGCUAAAAAGAGGACAUAUUAAAAGGGGACACAAACUAUUAUUCUGCAAAGCUUUUGACUAGCUCCCAUAAACCCUUAGAAAUUUAGCCAAUGGUUGGGGAUUAUGAAAUUUGGCUCACAAAAUGUAUUUUGCCACGUUUUUGCGAUUGACCACUUUGUUGCAUUGUAAGUACUAAUGUAUUUCCGUUUAAGACAAUCUGAGAUUACAUUCAUGUUUUCUUUCAUCAGGCAGCAAUACGGAAAGAAUUGAAUGAAUUCAAAAGCACAGAAAUGGAAGUACAUGAAGAAAGUAGACAGUUUACAAGGUUUCAUCGUCCUUAAGUGUUGAAAAUAUUCUGCUGUUGAGCACAACUAUCUUUCCUGAGGAAAGUCCUCCAUCUUGAAGCCCAGAGUACAUCACAACUGAAAUGUCUGCAGCACCUUAAAACUUGAGGUUACUCUAUGUUGUGGGUCCUCAUAUUUAACAAAGAGAGACAACUAGAAGAGAUACAGAAAAGAAUACAAAAUGGCCAUGUAAUAUGAAUGUUUAGUAUUUUGUUUUGAAUAGAAAAUCUUACUGUUCUUUCCUUAUCAACAGUUAACUGGGGUGAACAGAAAAUGACUAUUCAUAGGAAAGAAGCACAAUCCAUUUUCAAAUAGAAUAGGAAUAGACAUAGCUGAACUAUUAUUUAUGGGCCAACUAAUAGAAUACAUUUUUUUCCCUUCGUGGAAGUAAGUUUAUACUGUAUUAAGAGACUCGAUUACUACAGCAACAUGAAAAACCAGGAAUGUGAACAAUUCUCUUUCUGUCUUCCAGAAUGCCUUUUUGGGAGAAUUGCCAGCUCUACUUCUCAUAAAUAAUAGAGGAAUUUGAUGUAAUAUGUGAAUUUGGAAGCAAUUAGUACAAUUCACAGUUAUGUUUAUGAUUGUAUGGUUAUGAUCUCUAAAAUGUCCAGUGGGGGUUGCAACUAGAUUAUGAGUUGUACAACAUUAAAAUUGCUAAAUGUAUCUUUAUUAUUUAGAACUGCAACACAAAUUCCUUUUUAAAAAAAAAUUGAUAAAUUUAACAGAACCACCAAGGGUUCUCUGUAAUCAUGAAUAAAUUGAAAAAUAUGUUUAGAAAAAAAAAUGGGAGGCAAUAAGAAUGCUGUGAAAAGAAUCGAUAAGAAUCUUGCUUGAUCAGACAAUAGUGAUAAUCAGAUUUUCAAGCCAAACUCAAAAGUCAACAAAGAUGAAAUACACAUGGACACUUUCCCCCCUCCCCCCUCCGUUUUGAUAGUUGAGCUAUAUUUAAUUGGUCCUUAAAUCAAUAAGAACAAUGUAAGAUUAAAAGGAUGAUUUAUAUUGACAUCAGGAUUUAUUUCUAUUAGAAUAGGAAAGGUCAUAGCAGGAGUUUUGGGGGAGGGGAAGGGGACUGGCAAAUCACAUAGAAUAAAUUAGCAUUACAUUGCUAUGUUUGGGACUACAGUAAAUCUUCAUUGUAACAAACUAAUGGGAUAGAAGAGGGAGUCCUUCACACUGAAAUGGUUGUUCAAAGGCACAUGGGAGUUUAUGCACAAGUAAAAAUGACAAUAAAGAUAUAUAUAAGUGGAUUUUUGUUGAAUCUGAACCAUAUCCAAUUAGUUUGAAGUUUUACUGCAUGUACAAAUAAAACUCUUACAGACACAAAUCUUCCCUGCUUGAGCACACCUGCACAUGGAUGGAUUCCUACCAUAACAGUGCUUUGUUUUUCUUUCUUUUGCUUCUUUGACAUCACACCAGUCAGCCUGGGGAAUGGGAGCCUUGCCCACAUUUAUUUUUGUUCAAUCUACCCUUCCACUGAGGAGAAGAGGAAUAAUAGGGAUCUCCAAAAAUAAUAGUUCUUCUGUUCCCCAAAGAAUCUGUUGCACUGAACAUCUCCACGCUAAGGAAGCAAAGGGUCAGAGCAGAAUACUAUUAUAUGACAGAAAGAUCCCUCAUCAGAGUCAAGGAACACACAUACACACACACUCAAACUCUUAUUGACUUAGAAUUUGAAUUAGGUUGACUAAAAGUAUUCAGUGUUGCAGUUUAGCAGCAUUUGGAAUGAUUCAGGUUUUGUCCUUUGCCUUAGAAAGCUGAUGGCACACUUUAAUGGGAAAGGGACUUGAUGCUGUAGACAUCUAUUAAAUCCUCCUUUAGGACCAUGAGAAAACUACCAAAAGGGACUUUAAACUUACAGCCUUUGUUGUGUGUGGUUAUGUGGAGCAAAUGGUCGGUCUACUUUUAUAUUACCUUGUAACUGUAUCUAUGAAUAUCCAAUUAGUAUAACAGUAAAAGGUGGAGUGCUUUAUUAUGUUGGUCCUAAAUAUGGUGGCUUAUUAUAAGCCAAUGACAUUGUUUACACUAAAAAUUGUCUCAUAUUAGCACUUAUUUAUCCUUUUAAUGUACACGGUAAAGCUUAAGGACCUGAAAUACACAAGGGCAGUAUUACAAUAUAUGUGUAUUAUUUAUCCUUUUUAAAGUCUGUACAUACUACCAUUUAUUUUUGUCCAUGUGUUCUCUUUAGUUCCUAAUGAUAAAAGAUAUGUAUUUUUUUUCAGCAAUAAAUGAUCUCUGUCAUGA